rnacentral:rRNA from 1 species
GGAAACAGGUUAAUAUUCCUGUACUUGGUGUUACUGCGAAGGGGGGACGGAGAAGGCUAUGUUAGCCGGGCGACGGUUGUCCCGGUUUAAGCAUGUAGGCGGAACGAUUAGGUAAAUCCGGUCGUUUAUUAACGCUGAGGUGUGAUGACGAGGCACUACGGUGCUGAAGUAACAAAUGCCCUGCUUCCAGGAAAAGCCUCUAAGCAUCAGGUAACAUCAAAUCGUACCCCAAACCGACACAGGUGGUCAGGU